GAUGAACGCUGGCGGCGUGCCUAAUACAUGCAAGUCGAGCGAACAGAUGAGAAGCUUGCUUCUCUGAUGUUAGCGGCGGACGGGUGAGUAACACGUGGGUAACCUACCUAUAAGACUGGGAUAACUCCGGGAAACCGGGGCUAAUACCGGAUAAUAUUUUGAACCGCAUGGUUCAAUAGUGAAAGACGGUUUCGGCUGUCACUUAUAGAUGGACCCGCGCCGUAUUAGCUAGUUGGUAAGGUAACGGCUUACCACGGCGACGAUACGUAGCCGACCUGAGAGGGUGAUCGGCCACACUGGAACUGAGACACGGUCCAGACUCCUACGGGAGGCAGCAGUAGGGAAUCUUCCGCAAUGGGCGAAAGCCUGACGGAGCAACGCCGCGUGAGUGAUGAAGGUCUUCGGAUCGUAAAACUCUGUUGUUAGGGAAGAACAAAUUUGUUAGUAACUGAACAAAUCUUGACGGUACCUAACCAGAAAGCCACGGCUAACUACGUGCCAGCAGCCGCCGCCG
rnacentral:rRNA from 1 species